rnacentral:rRNA from 1 species
CAGCAGCCGCGGUAAUACGAAGGGUGCAAGCGUUAAUCGGAAUUACUGGGCGUAAAGCGUGCGUAGGCGGUGAGUUAAGUCUGCUGUGAAAUCCCCGGGCUCAACCUGGGAAUGGCAGUGGAUACUGGCUCGCUAGAGUGUGUCAGAGGAUGGUGGAAUUCCCGGUGUAGCGGUGAAAUGCGUAGAGAUCGGAAGGAACAUCUGUGGCGAAGGCGACUAUCUGGGCCAACACUGACACUGAGGCACGAAAGCGUAGGGAGCAAACAGGAUUAGAGACCCCCGUAGUCCCUGUCUCUUAUAC